AGAGUUUGAUCCUGGCUCAGAACGAACGCUGGCGGCAGGCCUAACACAUGCAAGUCGAACGAGAAGCCGCCUUCGGGUGGUGGACAGUGGCAGACGGGUGAGUAACGCGUGGGAACGUGCCUUUCGGUUCGGAAUAACCCAGGGAAACUUGGGCUAAUACCGGAUACGCCCUUCGGGGGAAAGAUUCAUUGCCGAAAGAGCGGCCCGCGUCGGAUUAGCUAGUUGGUGGGGUAAUGGCUCACCAAGGCGACGAUCCGUAGCUGGUCUGAGAGGAUGACCAGCCACACUGGGACUGAGACACGGCCCAGACUCCUACGGGAGGCAGCAGUGGGGAAUAUUGGACAAUGGGCGAAAGCCUGAUCCAGCCAUGCCGCGUGGGUGAAGAAGGCCUUAGGGUUGUAAACCCCUUUCAGCGGGGAAGAUAAUGACGGUACCCGCAGAAGAAGUACCGGCUAACUCCGUGCCAGCAGCCGCGGUA
rnacentral:rRNA from 1 species